UACGAAGGGGGCUAGCGUUGCUCGGAAUCACUGGGCGUAAAGGGUGCGUAGGUGGAUUCUUAAGUCAGAGGUGAAAUCCUGGAGCUCAACUCCAGAACUGCCUUUGAUACUGGGAGUCUUGAGUUCGGGAGAGGUGAGUGGAACUGCGAGUGUAGAGGUGAAAUUCGUAGAUAUUCGCAAGAACACCAGUGGCGAAGGCGGCUCACUGGCCCGAUACUGACACUGAGGCACGAAAGCGUGGGGAGCAAACAGG
rnacentral:rRNA from 1 species